rnacentral:rRNA from 1 species
ACGGAGGGUGCGAGCGUUGUCCGGAAUCACUGGGCGUAAAGGGCGCGUAGGCGGUCUGCUAAGCGUGCGGUGAAAGCCUGGGGCUCAACCCCAGGUCUGCCGUGCGAACUGGUGGACUAGAGCACUGUAGAGGCAGGUGGAAUUCCGGGUGUAGCGGUGGAAUGCGUAGAGAUCCGGAAGAACACCGGUGGCGAAGGCGGCCUGCUGGGCAGUUGCUGACGCUGAGGCGCGACAGCGUGGGGAGCAAACAGGAUUAGAUACCCUGGUAGUCCACGCCGUAAACGAUGGGCACUAGGUGCUUGGGGGAGCGACCCCCCGAGUGCCGGCGCUAACGCAUUAAGUGCCCCGCCUGGGGAGUACGACCGCAAGGUUG